GGAGAGAUGUCCGAGAGGUCGAAGGAGCACGAUUGGAAAUCGUGUGUACUGCAAGGUACCGAGGGUUCGAAUCCCUCUCUCUCCG
rnacentral:tRNA from 1 species